rnacentral:rRNA from 1 species
AUUGAACGCUGGCGGCAUGCCUUACGCAUGCAAGUCGAACGGUAACGGGCCUUCGGGUGCCGACGAGUGGCGAACGGGUGAGUAAUGUAUCGGAACGUACCUUUCAGUGGGGGGUAACGUAGCGAAAGUUACGCUAAUACCGCAUAUUCUGUGAGCAGGAAAGCAGGGGAUCGCAAGACCUUGCGCUGAUUGAGCGGCCGAUAUCAGAUUAGCUAGUUGGUGAGGUAAAGGCUCACCAAGGCGACGAUCUGUAGCGGGUCUGAGAGGAUGAUCCGCCACACUGGAACUGAGACACGGUCCAGACUCCUACGGGAGGCAGCAGUGGGGAAUUUUGGACAAUGGGGGCAACCCUGAUCCAGCCAUGCCGCGUGAGUGGAGAAGGCCUUCGGGUUGUAAAGCUCUUUCGGCCGGGAAGAAAUCGUAUCAGCUAAUACCUGGUGCGGAUGACGGUACCGGCAUAAGAAGCACCGGCUAACUACGUGCCAGCCGCCGCCGUAACAC